UUGCCUCAGUAACGGCGAGUGAAGCGGCAACAGCUCAAAUUUGAAAUCUGGCUUCGGCCCGAGUUGUAAUUUGUAGAGGAUGCUUCGGCUUACGUACCGGUCUAAGUUCCUUGGAACAGGACGUCACAGAGGGUGAGAAUCCCGUUUGUGGCCGGCACUUCCGCCAUGUGAAGCUCCUUCGACGAGUCGAGUUGUUUGGGAAUGCAGCUCUAAAUGGGAGGUAAAUUUCUUCUAAAGCUAAAUACCGGCCAGAGACCGAUAGCGCACAAGUAGAGUGAUCGAAAGAUGAAAAGCACUUUGGAAAGAGAGUUAAAAAGUACGUGAAAUUGUUGAAAGGGAAGCGCUUGCGACCAGACUUGCCCGCGGAUGCUCAACCGGUCCUUCGGCCGGUGCACUCUUCCGCGGUCAGGCCAGCAUCAGUUCGGGCGGUCGGAUAAAGGCCUUGGGAAUGUGGCUCUCUUCGGGGAGUGUUAUAGCCCUUGGUGUAAUACGGCCCGCCUGGACUGAGGCCCGCGCUUCGGCUAGGAUGCUGGCGUAAUGGUCGUAAGCGGCCCGUCUUGAAACACGGACCAAGGAGUCUAACAUCUAUGCGAGUGUUUGGGUGUCAAACCCGUGCGCGAAAUGAAAGUGAACGGAGGUGGGAACCUUAGGGUGCACCAUCGACCGAUCCUGAUGUCUUCGGAUGGAUUUGAGUAAGAGCAUAGCUGUUGGGACCCGAAAGAUGGUGAACUAUGCCUGAAUAGGGUGAAGCCAGAGGAAACUCUGGUGGAGGCUCGCAGCGGUUCUGACGUGCAAAUCGAUCGUCAAAUUUGGGUAUAGGGGCGAAAGACUAAUCGA
rnacentral:rRNA from 1 species